GACGAACGCUGGCGGCGUGCUUAACACAUGCAAGUCGAACGGAAAGGCCCUGCUUUUGUGGGGUGCUCGAGUGGCGAACGGGUGAGUAACACGUGAGUAACCUGCCCUUGACUUUGGGAUAACUUCAGGAAACUGGGGCUAAUACCGGAUAGGAGCUCCUGCUGCAUGGUGGGGGUUGGAAAGUUUCGGCGGUUGGGGAUGGACUCGCGGCUUAUCAGCUUGUUGGUGGGGUAGUGGCUUACCAAGGCUUUGACGGGUAGCCGGCCUGAGAGGGUGACCGGGCAAAUUGGGGAAGGAGAGCGGCCCCGGACCCCGCGGGGGGGAAGAAGGGGGGAAUAUGGAAAAAGGGGCGGAGGCGGAAGGCAGCAACGCGGGGGGGGGGAGGGGGGCUUGGGGUUGGUAAACCGCUUGCGCGUGGGAGGAAGGGGGAGGGAGGGGAGGGGAAAAAGAAGCCCGGGCUAAUUCGGGC
rnacentral:rRNA from 1 species